rnacentral:rRNA from 1 species
CAGAGUUUAUCCUGGCUCAGGAUGAACGCUAGCGACAGGCUUAACACAUGCAAGUCGAGGGGCAGCACGGUGUAGCAAUACACUGGUGGCGACCGGCGCACGGGUGAGUAACACGUGUGCAACCAACCCCGUACCGGGAGAUAACCCGCGGAAACGUGGACUAACAUCCCAUAAUACUGGAGGAUCGCAUGAUCUUUCAUUUAAAAUUCCGGUGGUACGGGACGGGCACGCGCGACAUUAGGUAGUUGGCGGGGUAACGGCCCACCAAG